rnacentral:rRNA from 1 species
GAACCGACUAAUGUUGAAAAAUUAGCGAUGACCUGUGGCUGGGGUGAAAGGCCAAUCAAACGGGAGAUAGCUGGUUCUCCCGAAGCUAUUUAGGUAGCGCCUCGUGAAUUCAUUCGGGGUAGAGCACUGUUUCGGCUAGGGGCCAUCCCGGCUUACCAACCGAUGCAAACUGCGAAUACCGAGAAUGUUAUGGGAGACACACGGCGGGUGCUAACGUCGUCGUGAAGAGGGAAACAACCAGACCGCCAGCUAAGGUCCCAAAGUCAUGGUUAAGUGGGAAACGAUGUGGGAAGGCACAGACAGCCAGGAUGUUGGCUUAGAAGCAGCCAUCAUUUAAAGAAAGCGUAAUAGCUCACUGGUCGAGUCGGCCUGCGCGGAAGAUGUAACGGGGCUAAACCAUGCACCGAAGCUGCGGCAGCGACACUAUGUGUUGUUGGGUAGGGGAGCGUUCUGUAAGCCGUCGAAGGUGACCUGUGAGGGUUGCUGGAGGUAUCAGAAGUGCGAAUGCUGACAUAAGUAACGAUAAAGCGGGUGAAAAGCCCGCUCGCCGGAAGACCAAGGGUUCCUGUCCAACGUUAAUCGGGGCAGGGUGAGUCGACCCCUAAGGCGAGGCCGAAAGGCGUAGUCGAUGGGAAACAGGUUAAUAUUCCUGUACUCGGUGUUACUGCGAAGGGGGGACGGAGAAGGCUAUGUUGGCCGGGCGACGGUUGUCCCGGUUUAAGCAUGUAGGCGGAGGUUCCAGGUAAAUCCGGUACCUUAUUAACGCUGAGGUGUGAUGACGAGGCACUACGGUGCUGAAGCAACAAAUGCCCUGCUUCCAGGAAAAGCCUCUAAGCAUCAGGUAACAUCAAAUCGUACCCCAAACCGACACAGGUGGUCAGGUAGAGAAUACCAAGGCGCUUGAGAGAACUCGGGUGAAGGAACUAGGCAAAAUGGUGCCGUAACUUCGGGAGAAGGCACGCUGAUAUGUAGGUGAAGCCCCUGCGGGUGGAGCUGAAAUCAGUCGAAGAUACCAGCUGGCUGCAACUGUUUAUUAAAAACACAGCACUGUGCAAACACGAAAGUGGACGUAUACGGUGUGACGCCUGCCCGGUGCCGGAAGGUUAAUUGAUGGGGUUAGCGGCAACGCGAAGCUCUUGAUCGAAGCCCCGGUAAACGGCGGCCGUAACUAUAACGGUCCUAAGGUAGCGAAAUUCCUUGUCGGGUAAGUUCCGACCUGCACGAAUGGCGUAAUGAUGGCCAGGCUGUCUCCACCCGAGACUCAGUGAAAUUGAAAUCGCUGUGAAGAUGCAGUGUACCCGCGGCAAGACGGAAAGACCCCGUGAACCUUUACUAUAGCUUGACACUGAACACUGGUCCUUGAUGUGUAGGAUAGGUGGGAGGCUUUGAAGCGUGGACGCCAGUCUGCGUGGAGCCAUCCUUGAAAUACCACCCUUUAAUGGCUGGUGUUCUAACGUGGGCCCGUAAUCCGGGUUGCGGACAGUGUCUGGUGGGUAGUUUGACUGGGGCGGUCUCCUCCUAAAGAGUAACGGAGGAGCACGAAGGUUAGCUAAUCCUGGUCGGACAUCAGGAGGUUAGUGCAAUGGCAUAAGCUAGCUUGACUGCGAGAGUGACGGCUCGAGCAGGUGCGAAAGCAGGUCAUAGUGAUCCGGUGGUUCUGUAUGGAAGGGCCAUCGCUCAACGGAUAAAAGGUACUCCGGGGAUAACAGGCUGAUACCGCCCAAGAGUUCAUAUCGACGGCGGUGUUUGGCACCUCGAUGUCGGCUCAUCACAUCCUGGGGCUGAAGUAGGUCCCAAGGGUACGGCUGUUCGCCGUUUAAAGUGGUACGCGAGCUGGGUUUAGAACGUCGUGAGACAGUUCGGUCCCUAUCUGCCGUGGGCGCUGGAGAAUUGAGGGGGGCUGCUCCUAGUACGAGAGGACCGGAGUGGACGCAUCACUGGUGUUCGGGUUGUCAUGCCAAUGGCACUGCCCGGUAGCUAAAUGCGGAAAAGAUAAGUGCUGAAAGCAUCUAAGCACGAAACUUGCCCCGAGAUGAGUUCUCCCUGAGCCUUUAAGGCUCCUGAAGGAACGUUGAAGACGACGACGUUGAUAGGUCGGGUGUGUAAGCGCAGCGAUGCGUUGAGCUAACCGAUACUAAUGAACCGUGAGGCUUAACCUU